CCCUGCCAUGGGCAGGGACACCUCACACCAGACUAUGUCACACCAGACCAUGUCCAUCCUGGCCUUGAACACUGCUGGGAAUGGAGCAUUUACUACUUCUCUGGGCAGCCUAUUCCAGUGCCUCACCACCCUCACAGUAAAGAACUUCUUCCUUAGAACUAACCUGAACUUCCCCUGUGUAAGUUUGAUCCCCUCACCCCUUGUCCUGAUCAGAUCAGUUACUGUAUUUUCAGUCGUGUGAACUUUGUGUUUUUCAGAUUGGAGGAUCUCCAGAAUCUUAAAAAAUGCCUUUAUGAAGAUGGAGCUCAUUUUCUACAGACAGCUUUGUCAUCUUGGACUGGAGAUUGAGGUUACCUUGACAGAAGAAAGUAUGGACCCAGCUUAGGAAUUGGAAGGCUUUUCAGAAUAACAAGGAGACAUGUAGAGGUGACAGCUGCUCUGCACUGCUGGAUGGCUGCUGUGGUGUGUAGUAGCCUGGUGUUGUAAACAUCCCCGACUGGAAGCUGUACCAGCUCUAGCUUUCAGUCAGAUGUUUGCUGCACCUGGCUAUUCCUGGGCAACGUUAGAAGGAAAACCUGUCAGGAAUACCUGUGUGCACAUACAUAUAUAUCCAACGCUGUUUCUAUGGACACAGUUGAAUUGCCUUCACAUGAAUCAUGAUUCUGUGCAUUAACCGGAUUGUUAUUAAUAGUGUAGGUGUGAUUUGUUGAAACCUGGAGAUACAAAGCUGCUGUCUGUGUGUCACUCAGAACAGUUCUUCACUGCACUAUGAGAUGAGCUUCGCUGAGACAUAACGGGAAGUGGUGGUUCAUUUCUUGUACAGUUAUCCGUAAACUUGCUUUAUGAAU